CCGCACUGGGCCUUGGGCAAAGUCUCCGGACGUUGAUGCUCAGUGGCUUGUCUCCGAAAG
rnacentral:RNase_MRP_RNA from 10 species